CGGGUGUCCCGUGCCUUGGCAACGGCCCCGGCUCUGGGCGGCUCUUGGCUCCCUCCUGGAAUGUAGACACACGGCCACGGGAUUGCUGGGAGAGCAACUGGAGGUGUUGGGAGCUGGGGAGCAACUGGAGGUGUUGGGAGCUGGGUCUGUGCUGAGCUCCUGCCAGCAGUGGCCACGCUGGAGCCUUGCAGCCUUUUAAAGAUUACCUGAACGCUGGUAACGCAGCUUUGGAGAA